rnacentral:rRNA from 1 species
GACGAACGCUGGCGGCGUGCCUAAUACAUGCAAGUCGAACGCAUUUUCUUUCACCGUAGCUUGCUACACCGAAAGAAAAUGAGUGGCGAACGGGUGAGUAACACGUGGGUAACCUGCCCAUCAGCGGGGGAUAACACUUGGAAACAGGUGCUAAUACCGCAUAAUUCCAUUUACCGCAUGGUAGAUAGAUUAAAGGCGCUUUUUCGUCACUGAUGGAUGGACCCGCGUUGCAUUAGCUAGUUGGUGGGGUAACGGCCUACCAAGGCUGCGAUGCAUAGCCGACCUGAGAGGGUGAUAGGCCACACUGGGACUGAGACACGGCCCAGACUCCUACGGGAGGCAGCAGUAGGGAAUCUUCGGCAAUGGACGCAAGUCUGACCGAGCAACGCCGCGUGAGUGAAGAAGGUUUUCGGAUCGUAAAACUCUGUUGUUAGAGAAGAAAAAGGAUGAGAGUGGAAAGUUCAUCCCUUGACGGUAUCUAACCAGAAAGCAACGGCUAACUACGUG